AUAUUCUGGUUUCUCUUCAGAUCGUAUAAAUCUUUUGCCUUUUACUAAAGAUUUCUGUGGAGAGGAACAAAUAAAUGUGGCAUAUGCAUUUAGUGGAAACUAUUUAGCAGCAAAGGGA
ensembl:snRNA U5 U5 spliceosomal RNA